ensembl:snRNA U6 U6 spliceosomal RNA
UUGCUUUAGCAACACAUACACUAAAAUUGGAACAAUAGAGAGAAGAUUAGCAUGGCCCCUGUGCAAAGAUGACACAGAUUCGUGAAGCAUUUCAUGUUUUU